AUACGUAGGGAGCGAGCGUUGUCCGGAAUGAUUGGGCGUAAAGGGCGCGUAGGCGGCCUGUUAAGUCUGGAGUGAAAGUCCUGUUUUCAAGAUGUGAAUUGCUUUGGAUACUGAUGGGCUUGAGUGCAGGAGAGGUUAUCGGAAUUCCCGGUGUAGCGGUGAAAUGCGUAGAGAUCGGGAGGAACACCAGUGGCGAAGGCGGGUAACUGGACUGCAACUGACGCUGAGGCGCGAAAGUGUGGGGAGCAAACAGGAUUAGAUACCCUGGUAGUCCACGCGGUAAACGAUGAUCACUAGGUGUCGGCGGCCAUAGGCGGUCGGUGCCGCAGCAAACGCAAUAAGUGAUCCACCUGGGGAGUACGUUCGCAAGAAUGAAACUCAAAUGAAUUGACGGGG
rnacentral:rRNA from 1 species